GUAUGUACGUGCAAUAAAAGGUUUUUUGGCUCAGAACGGUGUGAUAGAUUUAUCCGUUCAAUAUAAUAAUAGCUAUUGUGAUGCUACCUCUGAGUAUAGAAAUAACAACAGUAACGAAGAGAUUACGAAAAUGAGAAAGCAAUAUGGCCAUACACGACUUGCAUGAAUUCGACGUUUUAACAAAGGGGCAAAAUUAGUCAUUCUAAUUAAUUGCAUCCUUCUCCCAGCAGGUUCUUAAAAAAUGUCCAUCAACUAUCCAGGUCGUUCUAAUAUAAUAAUUACGACUGGUAGUACACCUCAAUAGAAAAUAGAAGAAAAGAAAGUAUAAAGUAAGAUGAUCCAUCCUAUGUUAACCUUUACACAAGCUUCUCUAUCGACGUGAGAAAUUUUUAUCAAAACCUGCUUCUCGUUCAUAGAGCAGUAUUCAACGACAUCACGGUAAUAAUUUGCUGAUGAAGUCACCGUUAACUUCUUAGUAGCUUCGCGCAAUAGGCACGCGCCAACAGAAUCUCCCUCGGGCAUUGAAUUAUACUUAUCGCUUCACUAAUGAUUGAUCGUAAUUGAUACCUUCGCGUUAUAAUAUAUAUCUACGGCGAUUGCUAAUGCAACUCGAGGAGUUGAAAUGUUAUCACUGAAGAUGCGAUAUGUUACAUGAAAGAUAGUCGCGUGUACACCAGUGAAAUGGGAACAUAAUUAUCCAUUUCCGCUAACUUAUUAGCUUGAAAAAUUCCAAUUUCUUGGCGCAGUAAGGUGGAAAUUAAUAACAUGUACUGUUAAUCACCAAUUUGAUAAGCUGUGCUAAUUUAUGACUAAGAAGAAUUUAUUAAUUAGAUGAUGUUUUUAGCUAUUUGUAAAUGUAUGUAAUGUAGGCAUUACAUUAGUAUAGGUACUUGAAAAUGUACACAGGAUUAUAAAAGUAUCUGAUCACUUGUAGAUACCUUUCAUGAAAAGAUGUACAUAGUAUGUGUGUUAUAGGAAACAUUUUGAAACUUCAUUAAUACUGUUACGAGACUGCACUCUCAUGCUCAUGUUGGUAUAGUUUGCAAGAGAUCUGGAAGUAUAUACAGAGUCCAGCCGAAUAAUAUACAUAUGCAAGCGAGCUUUAUAUUCGACAAUUUUUAAAACUCGAUUUUCUCGAAAACUGAGCCUCGGAUGAAAACAUUUUAUUCUAUAUUUUCUUUUAACUUUUGCAUAAAACAGGACUCUGCAUACAGAUUACGAAUAAUAUAAUACAAAUAUAAAUUUUCUAUAAUGAAUCAGAAUCAUGUCCACGAAUACAGAUGUGAUGUUAAUUAAUUUUGUAAUAUUAGCGAUAUUUUUUUAAGGUAUGCAUAUAUUAUGUUUGAAAUAAUCCUAAAUUAUACAUAGUAUAAAUAAAGUAGGUACUGACUGAAAGAGAUGGAAUAAAACACUGUUUUGUAUGAACGAGAAUUUUUAGCUUGGUAAAAUUCUUCUGGUGGAGACGAUAAUAACUUAUUAUUAGUAAGUGAUAAAUAAUAAUACAUUUUCGAUAAGAAUUUCAGGUAAUUUUUUAAUAUUCGUAAUACUUUUGAAAAAAACAUUUAAUUCAUAUAAUAAAGCAUUGAAUAUUUUAUCAAAGGUGAAGCUAUUUUGAUAAAUAAAUUUUAGUUUAAUGAAAAAGCAUUUUUAAAUAUAUACAACUUUUAUCUGGAUGAAAUUUAAUUUAACAUUGUCCUGGCAAUGAUGUAAGAUUUGGCUCACAUGAUAUAUCUUCAAUGAAUGUUAUCUUAUAAUUCAAAUCAUAAUACAAAAUAUUAUUAUAAUUAUAUCGUCUAUAGUUCAGCACAAUUAUUGAAAGUUUUCAACAAAAAUAUGUAUGUCCUCUCCAGCAUUUAUCUGAUCAUUACUUCAAUACUUAUUAUUUAUUAUAUAAAUAAUUUUAUGGAUUAUUAAAUAAUGAAGAAUUUAACUGAAGGAAAAGAGAACAAAACAGAGAAAAAGAAAUAGGAAAGGAGGGUACCGGUGAAAGUACAGACAAUACGUACCGGAACAGUGAGCAAGGUCACUUCCGGUGUCCUCUGUGAGUCUCUGACGAUAGCAGUCAAGGCCGUAAUUGCAGCCAUAUUCGAAAGGGCAAGGGCAACGAGGCUCGCUGCAAGGUGAGCCGUGGAAAAGCUGGAAUUUGUCU